ensembl:snRNA U2 U2 spliceosomal RNA
AAUCCCUUUGGGCUAAAAUCAGGUAAAGUAUCUGUUCUCAUCAGUUUGAUAUCUGAUAUAUUUUCUACCCAAGGACAAUAUACUAAAUAGAUUUUUGGAGCAGGAAGAUUGAAUAGGAGCUUGCUCUGUUCACUCCACCCUUGGACCUGGCAUUGUAGUACCUUCAGUAACAGUGUAACUCGU